GUGGAAGGAAAAUGGCACGUGUGAGCUUUAAGAGCCAGAACUCUUUCUUGUCCUUCCUUACCUCUUCCUUGUUUGCAGAGAGAAUAAUUUAUUCUGCCUUUUCCUCCCUAAUCAUCUGGAUAUCAUGCCAGGAAAUACUUUAAGGAGAGUCUCCACAAAGAUUAAGGACUAGACAGUAGUCACAUGAUAAGAAGUGUCAACCACUACAGAGAAAUGCAACUGAUAUCACUAAAAAUCACUGUUAUUGACACAGCCCAGACUGAAUGUGUUAGCAGUAACUGGCAGACAACCAAAUGUUUGGAAAUUGUUGCAGGUUGACCUUGGCUGGAUGUUGGAUACCACCAAGCCACUAUAUAAGCCCCUUCCCAGCAGACCAACUGAGAGAGAAUACGAUGGAAAACAACUAGCAGGUUUAAAGCAAAAAAAAAGUAAAGAAAAACGUUGCCUGUGCAUAAACAAAGGGUUAAUCUCUACUUCCUAUCAGAGAGCAAUGUUCAGACACAUCCCAGGAAGCAGGACCUCAGCACACAUAGCAGUCACUCCAGAAGGCAAACACUGUAGAAUAAAAAGUACCCCUCAAUCCUCCUCUCUCCCUUAUCUUUUAUAUGUGUGCUGCCAUCAUAGAGUAUGUAAUAGCUCUUUGGUUAAUUUGGGUCAGAUGUUCUGGUUCUGUCCCCUCCCCCAGAUUUUGCCACUCCCAGCCCUUGUUAACACUGGUGUGUUAUCAACACCUUUCCAGCUGCCAAUGCAAAGCGCAGCACUGAGUGCUGCUAAAGAAAAGUGAACUCUAUCUCAG